UACGAAGGGGGCUAGCGUUGUUCGGAAUUACUGGGCGUAAAGCGCACGUAGGCGGAUUUGUAAGUCAGGGGUGAAAUCCCGGGGCUCAACCUCGGAACUGCCUUUGAUACUGCAAGUCUCGAGUCCGAUAGAGGUGAGUGGAAUUCCUAGUGUAGAGGUGAAAUUCGUAGAUAUUAGGAAGAACACCAGUGGCGAAGGCGGCUCACUGGAUCGGUACUGACGCUGAGGUGCGAAAGCGUGGGGAGCAAACAGGG
rnacentral:rRNA from 1 species